GAUGAACGCUAGCGGAAGGCUUAAUACAUGCAAGUCGAGCGGUAGGUGGCUUCGGCCAUUGAGAGCGGCGCACGGGUGAGUAACGCGUACAUGACCUGCCUGUCAGAAGGGGAUAGCCCUGGGAAACUGGGAUUAAUACCCUAUGGUAUUGAUAUUAUGAAUGAUAUCAAUUAAAGUUGAGGCGCUGACAGAUGGAUGUGCGUCUGAUUAGCUAGUUGGUAGGGUAACGGCCUACCAAGGCGACGAUCAGUAGGGGGCGUGAGAGCGUGGUCCCCCACACGGGUACUGAGACACGGACCCGACUCCUACGGGAGGCAGCAGUAAGGAAUAUUGGACAAUGGGCGCAAGCCUGAUCCAGCCACGCCGCGUGAGUGAUGAAGGCCUUCGGUCGUAAAGCUCUGUGGGAGGGACGAACGGCGCCAUGAAGAGUGGCGAUUGACGGUACCUCC
rnacentral:rRNA from 1 species